UACGAAGGGGGCUAGCGUUGCUCGGAAUUACUGGGCGUAAAGGGCGCGUAGGCGGAUAGUUUAGUCAGAGGUAAAAGCCCAGGGCUCAACCUUGGAACUGCCUUUGAUACUGGCUAUCUUGAGUUCGGGAGAGGUGAGUGGAAUGCCGAGUGUAGAGGUGAAAUUCGUAGAUAUUCGGCGGAACACCAGUGGCGAAGGCGACUCACUGGCCCGAUACUGACGCUGAGGCGCGAAAAGCGUGGGGAGCAAACAGGG
rnacentral:rRNA from 1 species